CGAUUACGGCUCAGUAACACGUAGAUAGUCUACCCUUGAGUCGAGGAUAAGCACGGGAAACUGUGUCUAACACUCGAUAGGGGAUUCGACCUGGAAAGGUAGAUCCCUGAAACUCGUGCUCAAGGAUGAGUCUGCGGAUGAUUAGCUUGUUGGUGGGGUAACUGCCUACCAAGGCAAUGAUCAUUACGGGCUCUUAGCGGAGUUGCCCGGAGAAGGAAUCUGAGACACUAUUCCUAGCUCUACGGAGUGCAGCAGUCGCGGAACUUUUACAAUGCACGCAAGUGUGAUAAAGCGAACCAAAGUGUUUCUCGUUUAGAGAAACUUUUUCUUACUGUAAAAGUGUAGGAGAAUAAGGACUGGGAAAGACUGGUGCCAGCCGCCGCGGUAAUACCAGCAGUUCAAGUUGCAUCCCUUUUUAUUGGGUCUAAAACAUCCGUAGCUUGCCGUUUAAGUCUCUUGUGAAAUCUCACGUCUCAAGCGUGAUGAAGUGCAGGAGAUACUGAGCGGCUAGAGAUCGGUAGACGUAAGGAGUACGCCGGAGGUAGUGGUAAAAUGUGUUAAUCUUGAUCGGACUAACAAUGGCGAAGGCACUUUGC
rnacentral:rRNA from 1 species